rnacentral:rRNA from 1 species
UAUGCUCAGCCUUAAACCCAGAUGCACCUUUACAUCCACAUCCGCCAGGGUACUACAAGCUCAGCUUAAAACCCAAAGGACUUGGCGGUGCCUCAGACCCACCUAGAGGAGCCUGUUCUAAAACCGAUAACCCCCGUUAAACCUCACCACUUCUUGUUUCCCCCCGCCUAUAUACCGCCGUCGUCAGCUUACCCUGUGAAGGCCCUAACAGUAAGCAAAAUGGGCUCACCCCAAAACGUCAGGUCGAGGUGUAGCGUACGAAGUGGGAAGAAAUGGGCUACAUUGCCUGUAACAACAGGCCACUACGGACGGCACUCUGAAACCAGUGCCCAAAGGUGGAUUUAGUAGUAAAAAACAAAUAGAGAGUCUUUUUGAACCAGGCUCUGAGGCGC